rnacentral:rRNA from 1 species
AGCAGCCGCGGUAAUUCCAGCUCCAAUAGCGUAUAUUAAAGUUGUUGCAGUUAAAAAAGCUCGUAGUUGAAUUUCGGGGUUAGUAGGUUGGUCAUGCCUCUGGUAUGUACUGGUCUCACUGAUUCCUCCUUCCUGAUGAGCCGUAAUGCCAUUAAUUUGGUGUUGCGGGGAAUUUGGACUGUUACUUUGAAAAAAUUAGAGUGUUUAAAGCAAGCUAACGCUUGAAUACAUUAGCAUGGAAUAAUGAAAUAGGACGUUCGAUCCUAUUUUGUUGGUUUCUAGGAUUGACGUAAUGAUUAAUAGGGAUAGUUGGGGGCAUUAGUAUUCAAUUGUCAGAGGUGAAAUUCUUGGAUUUAUUGAAGACUAACUACUGCGAAAGCAUUUGCCAAGGAUGUUUUCUAUUAAUCAAGAACGAAAGUUAGGGGAUCGAAGACGAUCAGAUACCGUCGUAGUCUUAACCAUAAACUAUGCCGACUAGAGAUCGGAUGAUGUUAAUUUUUAAUGUACUCAUUCGGCGUCC